CCUGAAUUCCCCCCCUGGUUGAGAACCACUGAUCUACAACUUGUUCCUCCCUUUCAAAAUGCCUUACCACAUCCAUUUUUACAUCUAAACUAAUCAGUGGAGCCAUUUUAUUUAACCGGCAAGGAUUUCUCAGGAAUUUAAAAUUCAUGACUUUAUACUACGGUACUGUAUCUUUCAUGUAAAAGUAUCCAAAUGAGUGGCUGAAUAGCGAUGUUUAGUCAGCCAUAAAUGUCAUAAGAAGAUACCUGUAAUGUAAUUAGUGUAGCAGUAGCAAAUUAGAUUAUUGUAGAUAAAACUGUACAUUAUAUCAAUCUUGUACUGUACUGUACUGUAUAUUGUUGUCUUGGUUUUAGAUCCAUACUUAUAACACUUUAAAUUUGUCUCAUAAUUGGAUGUCUUGUAGGGGUAUUUGCAUGUUGCAUCAAUCAGCUAGCUAGUGCAGUUGGUAACCUGGAGCAGACACUGCCAACACGAUCUCCCGAUACUGUUGUUAUAAUUGGCCACAGUUAUGUUUGCUAUCUAUGAACAAAUUUAAGACCCAUUACAUAUACAGUACUGUACUGAAUCUGAUAAUUUUGUAAUUAAUAUGUACAGGUACUGCCAACAUGGUGCAUCCCUCAAUUCUCUUCACAAUAUGAAGAACUGAAGAGAUAGUGGGAAACAAUACGUACCGUAUUUGUUCAAGUAGGUGGUCUGGUAAAUAUUUGUGGUCGAUGGUUUGGUAUAUUUUGUGGUCUUCUUGACUUGUCUGGCUUUUGUGUAACCACGAUCUGGAUUUGAAGUUUGUAACAGUGGCAUACAGUAUGUGAGCAAAGGUUUUUUGUGGCUACUAAGUUGCUGUUUGGUCAUCAGUUAGUAGUUGAACAGCUGGUCGAGUGCAUGCGAAUUAGUAUAAAUUAAUUUAAUUUUCAACUAUUGACUUAAAAUUUGUGUUGAAUUCACUGUGCCUGACUUGGAUUUAAAUGCUCUGAAGAGGCUUAAGGGUGUAGAGAUAUGUCAUGCACCUGCUUGUUAAUUGUUUAUAUACAUGAUAAUUGAUGUUCCUAGACAAGGAAUGUAAAUUUCAUAUAGCAAGCACAAAUUACCAAUGAAUGACGAUGUUUAAGAUCAGCCUAGUCAGCACUGCAGCUCAGAAUCAAAUUAAGGCAUAAUAUUCAAGGAUGGGUAACAGAAAUUAAGUACAGUAGAAGUCCAAAAAUCCGGACUGCUUGGGGAUUGGGUCGGUCCGGAUUUUCGGAUUUUCCGGUCUGAAUAAAUGUGAUAGGCUAGGUUAGGAAUUAGUGGCUAAGUAGCCACUUGCUAAAAGGUAAGGCCAUAUUUCAGGAUGGAUGAUAAUGUGCCUUUUCUUGUAUAACUUUGCUUUUCUCUUGAAUAUGGCUAACAAGAGCAAUGCACUGUUUAAAGGACAGCGGAAUGCUCUGUUCAUGGUUAUCCAUACUUCCCAAGCUUUCCUGCUCUAUGUUGUGACUGCUGACUCCUGGCCACCCCUGUGUGACCCAACACCCUGAUGGGGUAAUGAUAUGGAUCUUGACUUGCUAGUUUGAUAGACAAUUUUGGUUUCAUUUUGCUCAAUAUUUGAUGAUUAAUGCAAUGUAGAUUGUCGUUUUUGUGGAAAUGCUAUUUUUUUUUCAACUUCUGAGUUGAGUUUUUGUCAGUGGGAAAAGUUAUCGACUGAAAAUGAUAUCGUCCCAGCCCCUCUGAACUCUAGGAUCAUUUUCUGCACCAGCCACUCUGUGACAACACGUGACUAAGGUUAGGUUAGGUUAUGAUUGGUAAGGUUAUGAUUUGUUGCUUUUCAAUGGAAAACGGUCGUAGUAAUGUAAAAAAAAUACGUUUUGUAUUUGUGAUUCUCAACCUGGAAGUUGAAAAAUAAAAAUUUUCACAAAAAGACUAUCUCCGUUGCAUUAAGCAUCAAAUAUUGAGCAAAAUGAUACCAAAAUUGUCUGCUAAACUUGCAACAGUCAAGAUACAAAUAAUUACCCCCUGGUGAAGUACAACCUUCAAAACAAACCUCACAAACACCAGAGAAUGAUAAUGUCUAUAUCCCAUAGAUAUCCCUUUAACACAUCUAUGUUCGUAUGGUGAUUUGGUUACAUUUUUUAUUUUUUUUGAGGGAAUUAUUAUUGGGGUACUCGAUGCCUGGGUUGUGGCAAGCGCCGAUUUGGAAAUAUUGGUAGUUUCGGGUGCCAGUUAGUAGGGCUCAUCAUCGGUCAUGAAGACUGAAUAAGGCCCUGAAUCCAGCCUGAAUGAGGGUCAGAUUAUAUACUGUACAGCAGUGGUCCCCCAACCUUUUGUAGGCUCUGGGCCACAUUUAUCAUUGUAAAUAAUAUAGUAGUGAAGGGGGGCUAAAACUUUGGAUCUACAUUCAAGAUACAAAAAACCUCACAGUAUACAGUUACUUGCAGUUUUACACGAGUCUAACAGUUUAUUCGUUACCAGUUACAUACUUUUUACAUAUACUCUUUAAUCAUGUUAGCUCUCUCUGGCCCCGGUCUGGUAAAUGCACACGUCCUGUACACGACCGAUUCGGGACAAAUGGGUUAUUGCGCUAUUUAUCUAAUCUUCACAACAGAUUCCCAAUUAUUUCAAAAUUUUAUAAUAAACCCUUGCGGGCUCCAGUUGAGGACCAUUGCUGACAGUAUAGGCCAUGACGUAAUUAAACACGUUAAUAAGAACGCAAAGAAAUUAAAUAAUAAGAAAGCUGAAAAUGUAGUCAGUGGGUAGCAGAGUGAGAGCGGCGGCGCGGUGUUGGUGAAUGUUGUUGCCGCAGAAACCUAGUAACCACAUGUCCUCUAAACCGGCCGUCCGCACCGGUCCGAUGGCCAAUACCUCACUGCACAACCACACCUGCAUCAAGUUCUUGGCCAGUCCCCUCCCACCCUUAUUAACUGUGUUACCACUAAAAACUCUUGAGCGCUUUAAUUAAACUGAUCUAUAGUCCGUUAAAAUUAAAAGACGUGAUUCACAAAUGUCGGAGAUAAGAGAGACUGGCAGUGAUGUGAGGGUACUUGUAAUCAUGAAGUAGUGCAGGUCUACCGUGUGUAUUGAUUCUUGGUAUUGUUGUGGUUACCAGCCAUGACUCAACAGUUCCUGACCAGUGUUCCCUCCUCGGGCGUCAUGCGCCUUGCAGAGACUCCAGUGCCGGAAGUGAGUCAAGCAGAUGGUCACUUCGAAGUUUUGAGACGCCCCUUCGAUGGACCAAACUCAAAGGAUUUUACCAGUGAUGUACAGAAAUUGAACCUUCACCCAGACCGGAAGAAGGCCAAACCGGGCCCGAGAAGACGAGGGGCGGAUCAAGGAGGGGGAACGGUCAGCCCUCAGAGCAUCGAUGAGCUGUAUUGGAUGUUGCCCGGGGCAGUUCUCUCUGACAGCGAAAGUUGCUUCUCUUCUAUGAGCGGUGCUAUGUAACGGAUGAUAAGGAGGAGUAUAUCAAGGUCGUGGUAGUCAGCUGUUUCAGUCAUCCUUCAUAUAUUCUCGUGGUAGUUUGUUAUGGAUCUCACCCCCACACAAAAAAAAACUAAUGACGGCGUUUCUGUCCUUUUUUAACUACUGUAAUUGUUUAAGAAAGGAAAAAGUUAUUUCCCAUUCAGGAUAGUUACCUCGACGACUUUCUUUUCCCCACAUGUGUGAUAUCAUCCAGUUUGUUUUAGGAAUUCCAGCUGAAUUUUAUUAGCCAGGGUAGAGAAGCCUCCGUCCCCCUCCUCCCCUCUAACAACACUUUUCCCGUGAAGCAUCAUUCAUUACCUUUGUCAUAAUUUCUUUAAAAAAACAUAAGAUAUUUUAAUACUUAUAAAUUGUGUUUACAAGUAUUUGUUUAUUAGUCUUGUCAAUUGGAACAAAAAUCCAACUAACCCAGUCAAACACGUGUUAAAAAAACGCUGAUACCUUUACACGCCCCUCGACCAGUAACGGCUCCCGGUGAUGUUUACAAACGAUCAAUUGACUCGGGAUCACUCACCAGCAGACACGCUACUGAGUAUCAAGGACUUUGUAGGGGUAUCGAGAUAUUAAUGUUGUCUAGCACUCAGGAUGGAAGGAAACUCUAAUGUGGUUUUCUUGUAUAAUAUAAGUUAUAUGAUAGACAGUCUGGUGCUGGAGGUGCGGUGUGGCGAGGGGCUGCUCAGUGGAGACGUUUGGUGAGUAGCGUGUUGAAGGAGGUAGAUGUGCAGGAGCUUCGUUAGAGAAGAUGUUGCCUGUUGCUGGCCUCCUGGUUGAAUGAAUGCUAACAUUUUGGA